rnacentral:rRNA from 1 species
AAUAGAUACCCAGGUAGUCCACGCCGUAAACGAUGGAUACUAGCUGUUUGGUAGUAAUACUGAGUGGCUAAGCGAAAGUGAUAAGUAUCCCACCUGGGGAGUACGGGCGCAAGCCUGAAACUCAAAGGAAUUGACGGGGGCCCGCACAAGCGGUGGAGCAUGUGGUUUAAUUCGAUGAUACGCGAGGAACCUUACCAGGGCUUAAAUGUAGUUUGACGUUAUUGGAAACAGUAAUUUCUUCGGACAAAUUACAAGGUGCUGCAUGGUUGUCGUCAGCUCGUGCCGUGAGGUGUCAGGUUAAGUCCUAUAACGAGCGCAACCCCUGUUGUUAGUUGCCAGCGAGUAAUGUCGGGAACUCUAGCAAGACUGCCAGUGUAAACUGCGAGGAAGGUGGGGAUGACGUCAAAUCAUCACGGCCCUUACGUCCUGGGCCACACACGUGCUACAAUGGCCGGUACAGAGAGCAGCCACUAUGCGAAUAGGAGCGAAUCUAUAAAGCCGGUCACAGUUCGGAUCGGAGUCUGCAACUCGAC